AUUGAACGCUGGCGGCAUGCUUUACACAUGCAAGUCGAACGGAAACAGCACUUCGGUGGCUGACGAGUGGCGGACGGGUGAGUAAUACAUCCGAACGUGCCUAGUAGUUGGGGAUAACUACUCGAAAGAGUAGCUAAUACCUCAUGAGAUCUAAGGAUGAAAACAGGGGACCUCCGGGCUUUGCGCCACUAGUGCGGCUGAUGGCAGAUUAGGUAGUUGGUGGGAUAAAAGCUUACCAAGCCGACGAUCUGUAGCUGGUCUGAGAGGACGAGCAGCCACACUGGGACUGAGACACGGCCCAGGCUCCUACGGGAGGCAGCAGUAGGGAAUUUUGGACAAUGGGCGCAAGCCUGAUCCAGCAAUGCCGCGUGAAGGAUGAAGGCCUUCGGGUUGUAAACUGCUUUUGUACGGAAAGAAAAGCUCUCUACUAAUACAGGAGGGUCAUGACGGUACCGUAAGAAAAAGCACCGGCUAACUACGUG
rnacentral:rRNA from 1 species